rnacentral:rRNA from 1 species
CGAACCCACGUAGGUUAAAAACUGCGGGGAUGAGCUGUGGGUAGGGGUGAAAGGCCAAUCAAACUUCGUGAUAGCUGGUUCUCCCCGAAAUGCAUUUAGGUGCAGCGUCGUAUUAUAGCUUGGUGGAGGUAGAGCGACUGGUUGGUUGAGCGGGACUACAAUCUUAGCAAUGUCAGCCAAACUCCGAAUGCCACUAAUUGUGUUGUACGGCAGUGAGACUGUGGGGGAUAAGCUUCAUAGUCGAGAGGGAAACAGCCCAGAUCGCCGGUUAAGGCCCCUAAGGGUGUACUAAGUGGAAAAGGAUGUGGGAUCGCGAAGACAGCCAGGAGGUUGGCUUAGAAGCAGCCAUCCUUGAAAGAGUGCGUAAUAGCUCACUGGUCGAGUGAUCCUGCGCCGAAGAUUUCCGGGGCUAAAACCUACUACCGAAGCCACGG